ACCCUCUGGAUCCCUUAUCCCUCAGAUCGAACCAUGGUCUGCGUGGUUAUGAAAGGAGGAGGAGGCAAACUGAAACGGACUUGGAUUCUGUGACAUACAAUUUUGUUUCAAACAAAA
rnacentral:snoRNA from 1 species